rnacentral:rRNA from 1 species
CUUCCGUAGGGUGAACCUGCGGAAGGAUCAUUACCGAGUGAGGGCCCUCUGGGUCCAACCUCCCACCCGUGUUUAUUCUACCUUGUUGCUUCGGCGGGCCCGCCUCACGGCCGCCGGGGGGCACUCGCCCCCGGGCCCGCGCCCGCCGAAGACACCAAUGAACUCUGUCUGAAGAUUGCAGUCUGAGCAGAUUAGCUAAAUCAGUUAAAACUUUCAACAACGGAUCUCUUGGUUCCGGCAUCGAUGAAGAACGCAGCGAAAUGCGAUAAGUAAUGUGAAUUGCAGAAUUCAGUGAAUCAUCGAGUCUUUGAACGCACAUUGCGCCCCCUGGUAUUCCGGGGGGCAUGCCUGUCCGAGCGUCAUUGCUGCCCUCAAGCACGGCUUGUGUGUUGGGCUUCGCCCCCCGGCUCCCGGGGGGCGGGCCCGAAAGGCAGCGGCGGCACCGCGUCCGGUCCUCGAGCGUAUGGGGCUUCGUCACCCGCUCUGUAGGCCCGGCCGGCGCCCGCCGGCGACCCCAAUCAAUCUUUCCAGGUUGACCUCGGAUUCAGGUAGGAAUACACGAUAUU